rnacentral:rRNA from 1 species
GAUGAACGCUAGCGGGAGGCCUAACACAUGCAAGCCGAGCGGUAUUUGUUCUUCGGAACAGAGAGAGCGGCGCACGGGUGCGGAACACGUGUGCAACCUGCCUUUAUCUGGGGGAUAGCCUUUCGAAAGGAGGAUUAAUACCCCAUAAUAUAUUGAGUGGCAUCACUUGUUAUUGAAAACUCCGGUGGAUAGAGAUGGGCACGCGCAAGAUUAGAUAGUUGGUGAGGUAACGGCUCACCAAGUCAAUGAUCUUUAGGGGGCCUGAGAGGGUGACCCCCCACACUGGUACUGAGACACGGACCAGACUCCUACGGGAGGCAGCAGUGAGGAAUAUUGAACAAUGGGUUAGCGCCUGAUCCAGCCAUCCCGCGUGAAGGACGACGGCCCUAUGGGUUGUAAACUUCUUUUGUAUAGGGAUAAACCUACUCUCGUGAGAGUAGCUGAAGGUACUAUACGAAUAAGCACCGGCUAACUCCGUG